UACGUAGGGGGCAAGCGUUGUCCGGAUUUAUUGGGCGUAAAGAGCGUGUAGGCGGCCAAACAGGUCCACUGUGAAAACUCGAGGCUCAACCUCGAGAGGUCGGUGGAAACCGUCUGGCUAGAGUCCGGAAGAGGAGAGUGGAAUUCCCGGUGUAGCGGUGAAAUGCGCAGAUAUCGGGAAGAACACCCGUGGCGAAGGCGGCUCUCUGGGACGGUACUGACGCUGAGA
rnacentral:rRNA from 1 species